GGAUCGAGAUGACUUAUAGGUAUCCGUGGGGCCCGAAGCAGCGAUGAUGACUGUCUCAGAGGCCUUCAACUGUUUAUUCAGAAAGGCUUGGCCGGGCGCGGUGGCUCAAGCCUGUAAUCCCAGCA